rnacentral:ribozyme from 13 species
ACAAAAAAUUAAAGUAGUCAAAUAAAACGGAUGACCUCUCGGAUUCAAUACAUAUAUGUAUUUCCUUAUAUAUUAUUCGUCGUCUGACAUUUAUCCUCUGUUUUUUUUUUUUUUUUUUUUUUUGGUUUUUUUUUUUUUUGUUUUUUGUUUUCUUAUGACGAAAACUGUAUGUGUGUGGUUGUUUUCAUGUCUUUAUAUAAGAAACAAAAAAGAAAAGGA